AACUAUCGCUAGUCCAUCCAAUAACCCAGAACACUGGACUAACAUCUUUUCUUUUGCAAGCUGAUCAUUAAGGCACAUAUGAACAUUUUGAAGACUCAAAUUUACUAACAAGUUGCAAUCAUCGAUCAGAUUUCCAGCUCAGUUUCAGUAUUUCUUCCUCUAAUUCUCUAGCCUUCAACUGCCAGAUCUUUUUUUUCAUUGUUACGUUUUUCUGAUUUUUUUUUUUUGAAUUUAUGUUUGUGAUUCUUGGCAGUGAUUAUAAGAGAGAGGCUUUAGUGGGGCACCAUAAAAUUUAAUCUGUUUGAUUUCUUGAUUAAUAGAUGGAGAUAAUAUGAAUCUAGGUGCCAUCUUUUGAAUCAUAGUAAUGAAAUUGGUACCCCCGUUAGAAAUUGUAUGUAAAUCUAUGAUUCAAAAGUAUCUGGUAUCUUUUGAAAUAUCUGUUCUUCUCUUUUAUUAUGGAUUUCAGAUUGAUUUUGUUUUCCCACAGUGAUUGAGUCAAAAUUACACUUGAUAUGAUCCUAUUGAUAUUUGCUUUAUUGGGUUUAUUGAGUGCAAAGUUCAUGGAUUAUCCUUCGCAGUUGUGUAUACCAAUGAUGCUGAAAUAGAAAUUAAUUUUUAUUUCUAGCGGGGAGAUCACGGUAGGUGUAGCAUGGUGGAUUAUUAAUUUUUCCAGUCUUGCCAGAAAUUGGAUCCCCGAUGUUUUGAGUGAGUGACAGUCCCUGCAUAAUCUAUCAUUUUAUGCCGGAGGAUGACUAUAGGGGUUUGCUUCCAAGCUAUUUAGCUCACGAUGCCUUGAUUUCAUGUUUGUAAGCACGGGUAGCCACGUUCCUUCCUACUGACUACACACCGUUUUUUGUAUCUUUUUCAUCUACUGCAAUUGUUUGUACACUGAUACAUUGUUCGUAGCUGUUAGUAAUGUCUACUCCUUAAGUAUGCAAGUCUAGUUCUUGGACUUCCAACGUUAUAUUUUUAUCUUGUCCCCUGUCUGCCUGUCAUCUAUAAAGCAUAUAGGUUCUCUUGGUAUCAAUUUUGUGUCGGAAGAUGACUAAAUGAGAAUGCUUUGCCAAGCGUCUUUGCUCUUGAAUAAUCAUCAUUCAUGUUGUGAUCUUGGUGUAGCUCAAACUAUGUUUCUCAUAUACACCCUGUAUCCCUUGUAUUGGUGUUUUUUUUAGUAUUAGACUAGCAUUGGUUAUUAUCUCUGUUAUACUAUGGUGUGCGAUUUUUCAGGAGAAUGGAAAAACUAAUAGAUAUAAGCUUGUCAUCGAACUGACCAUUUUUGUUAUAAAACGAGUAUAAAAAUAGUUCUAAAACAGUUUGUUAAUUGUUUUUCCCUUUUCCACCUCAUAGAUUAAGGAACAGAAGAACCUAAAAAAACCGAAAUAUUUUUAUGUGAAUAUACAUUACAAGUCUCUAAUCAGAUAAUAGAGAUAUGAUCUUAGCGAUUGGGCAUUGUCAAAAAGUAAUGAUUUUACAUUGAAACCAUGCCUGGUCAUUAAGUUUGUUUAUCUAUAUUGUCUCUGCGGAUCCUUGCAGUUUAAGAUCUUAUAAAAUCAAAUACUUCAAAAAGGGAGCAGAGGUAGACUCACUGGUUGUCUCUCGUGAACCAGGGUUUGGACUCAGGUCCCAAAGGCCCCCCUGCUAAUCCUUGGGUGGCGAGUCCCAUCCUAGUAUUAGCGGGGAGGUUUUUUUGGUCCAUAGCCAUAGGUCUCAACUCUGAAUCACACCCUUGAAUAAGUACUGGGAAAGCUUUUAGGCUUGUAGAUCCCAUUCCUGGUAAGUAUAGCUUAGUUUGGAGAAUGGAAAAUUCAAUUCUGAAUGCCUCCAAUAGUGUUUCAUUUUGUAUGGAAAUAGUGCAGCUAGCAUUUUGAAUUCAUAUCUUCACCCGGGUUUACCGCUGCAAACAGUAUAAUGAGUCAUAAUUGUUCUCCAUACACAUCUAUAUAAAAAUUGCAUUAGAAAGUGCAAUUCAAGUGAGAAUUUAAGUUACAUAAGUUUAGAAAGAUGUGCGUUUAACGUCAACAAGCGUCUGAUUUGGGUUACUAGAGUUUCACAACAAGCAUUGUAAAACUGUUGCUGUUGCUCGUCAUCAACAAGACUGAUUUGGAUUUCGACUACUCCGUGCAGAGCUUCUUACUGUUUUUCUCUCGUUUUUGUGGGUAAUAGUUCGAAGAAAUAGCCCAGGCUUAUGAAGUUCUUAAUGAUCAUGAAAAAAGAUGCAUACAUAUAAUCAAUACGGAGAAGAUGCCCUUAAAGAAGGAAUGGAAGGAGGUGGUGGCGGUGGUCGCUAUCCUUUUGAUACAUUUGAAUCAGUCUUCGGUGGAGGAGGAGGUUUUGGUCUAGAGGACGGAGGCAGAAGCAGGGAGAGGAUGUGGUACAUAGUACAUACUCUUAACGGUUUCUCUAGACUGAAAAUAAACUUUCUCUUUUUAGGAACGCAUUGUGUUCAAAUUGCAACGGUAAAGAGUCAAAGAGUGGGGCAUCAAGUAGAUGUGACGGCUGCCAAGGUUCAGGAAUUAAGAUAUCAACCCGACAAAUUUGGCCAGGGAACAUGUCUGUCUGUCCAGAGUGCAGAGGCUCAGGUAGUUAUCAAGAAAGAAGCAAAUUUUAGAGAUACAGGAGAUUAACUGUAGGAGAUUAACUAUGGUGAAUACAAUGCUGUCAUACUAAGUUAUAUUUACUUGUUCUUUACUGGAGAUUAACUGUAGGAGAUUAACUGUAGGAGAUUAUAAGAGAUGCAUCUAAAUUGUAUGGAAUACUUAACUGAUGCCAAGCCCAUGCUUAGUACGUUAUGAACAAUGACAAAGAUAAAAAGUCUUAGGUUCUGUAUUGAAAGCUGCUGUUGAUGGACGAAUUUCUGCUUAUUCCAAACAUCUGAUUGCCGUGUUCUCCUCUCGAGUUCAUGCAAAACGAAGUUUCGGUCAAUUCGCAAUCUCUAGGGAUGUAACGGGUCAAAGAGUGGGGCAUCAAGUAGAUGUGCCGGCUGCCAAGGUUCAGGAAUGAAGAUAUCAACCCGACAAAUUUGGCCAGGAAUGAUCCAUCAAAUGCAACAUGUCUGUCUGUCCAGAGUGCAGAGGCUCAGGUGAGGUCAUCAACGAGAAAGAUAUGGUAGGUGAGGUCAUCAACGAGAAAGAUAGAGAUGUCAACAGUGCAAAGGGAACAAAGUUACCAAGGAAAAGAAGGCGCUAGAGGUACAUGUUGAAAAAGGAGUGCAGAACAGAUAAAAGAUUGUGUUUGAGGGACAAGACUAUUUGGUCCAGAAAUUUCCUUUUUGUAGAAUGCCCUGAGGACCAUUGCAGAUUCUUUUCGAACCCUGCACAACUCAAACCCGUACAACUUAAUCAUUUUGGCUUAUGUGGUCGAGUUAUUGUUUCAGAUCCAAUCAUGUAAAGAAGUUGCAAAAAGCUUCUGGAGAUGGAUGCUGACUUUUUUGAUUCAGAUGCUACGGGGUUAACACUUAUCAUGGAAAUCUAAGAGUUUGGAUACUGGAAACUGUUGAGCUGAGCUCCAGAGGGAACAACAUAAUUGUCAAUAAUUAGAACAGAUAACAAUAUGUAGAUCUUCUUAUUCAGCAUUUCUUCGUCAAAUCAAUCUCCGCAAAGGUUGCCUAUUUUGCUAGAGGUUUUGGUGAUAUGCACAGAUAACAAUAUGUACAUCUUCUUUAUAAGUGAAGGCUGCAGAAAGCUUGAUUGUGCAUUACUUGGAGGUGAUAAUCCUGUUCUUUAAAAAGAUUGGAAAGCACACACCAAGUAUGAGGAAUACAGAGAAACUGAUGAACAGAUUUGCUGGUUCUGGAAGGUUGUGAUGGUAUAUCCAUGGAGGUGCAUAGGCAGCUUCUUUUCUUCUGGUCCUCAGUGAAAUACCUACCAGGUAAAUGGUUUUACUGGUUUGCCAUAUCUUUUGACAAUCUUCAAGACUUCCGGUUUUCCCACACAUGCUUGCCGUCAUCCCACGCAUGCUUCUUCGGAUUUUCACUUCCAUAUUUCCCAUCUUUACACAACAGCAUCUCUUUUAUUUGCCAAAAAGCAUGUAGGCUGUAGUUUUGGAUUUCUGUGAAAUACCACUUGCUACUGGUAAUUAGCUAUGUUGCCCAACAUAUGUACAUUGAAUGUUUCCCACCAGGCACUGGCGUUGCUCAGGCUAACCCUAUGUGGAGUUGAGUGACAACUGUCCACAAAUUAACGUUUUUUAUGCAGAAGAUCAAUAUGAUGUUUGGAUAACCGAAAAUUCAAUUGUUCAAUGCCAGAAAUAUUCUUACACUUGUGAAGCAUUGAGCUUUAUCAAGUCUGGUUCUCCGGCCUAUAACUCCAUCCACCUAUGUAAUAUCAAAGUCAGGAUGGUCGAGUGGUCUAAGGCGCCAGACUCAAAGAGGGCGUGGGUUCGAACAGCUUCUGACAUUUCACAUUUUUGGGUUCAGAUUUUUUUUUUCUUAUGGUUGUUUGGUUUUCAGAACUUUUUUGUUUUGUUUUUGUGGUUAUGCUCAAUUUUACGGUAAUACACCUGUUCAAUAUGAUUGACUAGCCAUUUUUACAUAGCAUUUUUCUAUAGCUAUGUGAAAAAGAAGGUUGAUCCCGGUCGGGAUAAAAUUUUGAACUUUUA